rnacentral:lncRNA from 1 species
GGAAAAACUGAUGAAGUUGUUNAUAGGGGUCGUUUGUUGUAUUUGUGUGGUUAAUAUUAUUGUAAUUUCAAUAUGGAUGACAAAUCCAUGAUGUAAUUUCGUUUUGAUAGGAUGCAAUUGGUGAUGUUAAAGUUAGUUUGUGAUGAAAAUGGGAAUANCAAUGUAUUUGACUAUGUUCAAUUAAUGAAAUGAUGUUUUGUAGCUUUGGCAAUUGUUCUUCCUAUGUUUUCCCCC